GAUGAACGCUGGCGGCGUGCCUAAUACAUGCAAGUCGAGCGAACGGACGAGAAGCUUGCUUCUCUGAUGUUAGCGGCGGACGGGUGAGUAACACGUGGAUAACCUACCUAUAAGACUGGGAUAACUUCGGGAAACCGUAGCUAAUACCGGAUAAUAUUUUGAACCGCAUGGUUCAAAAGUGAAAGACGGUUUUGCUGUCACUUAUAGAUGGAUCCGCGCUGCAUUAGCUAGUUGGUAAGGUAACGGCUUACCAAGGCAACGAUGCAUAGCCGACCUGAGAGGGUGAUCGGCCACACUGGAACUGAGACACGGUCCAGACUCCUACGGGAGGCAGCAGUAGGGAAUCUUCCGCAAUGGGCGAAAGCCUGACGGAGCAACGCCGCGUGAGUGAUGAAGGUCUUCGGAUCGUAAAACUCUGUUAUUAGGGAAGAACAUAUGUGUAAGUAACUGUGCACGUCUUGACGGUACCUAAUCAGAAAGCCACGGCUAACUACGUG
rnacentral:rRNA from 1 species